UACGGGGGGGGCAAGCGUUGUUCGGAAUUACUGGGCGUAAAGGGCUCGUAGGCGGCCAACUAAGUCGGAUGUGAAAUCCCCAGGCUCAACCUGGGAACUGCAUCCGAUACUGGAUGGCUUGAAUCCGGGAGAGGGAUGCAGAAUUCCAGGUGUAGCGGUGAAAUGCGUAGAUAUCUGGAGGAAUACCGGUGGCGAAGGCGGCAUCCUGGACCGGCAUUGACGCUGAUGCGCGAAAGCCAGGGGAGCAAACGGG
rnacentral:rRNA from 1 species